rnacentral:sRNA from 1 species
UUCACUGCCUAAGCUUGGCUAUUCUGUAACUUACUCUGGGAAUUGACUUUGAACUCAGAGAUCUGCAUGGCUCUGUCUCCUGAAUGCUGAGGUUAAAGUUCAUCCAGAAAAGGCAUGAGCUUCAAAUAGCCAAGCAGAUAUCCUGGCGUGAAGCAGAAAUUGCUAGCAGAGGGGAGAGCAGAGGACCGCAACGUGAUACCCAGAGAGAUGCACAGAAGGAAAAUGUGGGUCAAGUGAGAGGGGCUUCCUACCUGGCCCUGUGAUUGGGUGUGCAUACAGCUCUAAGAGGAUUCUGAAUGGAGUGUGAGAAGGCAGCCAUCAAAAAAUGGGCCAAUUCACAGCUGCAAUCCUUGGGAGGAUUUCCUGUCUGGGAGCCUGGAAACUGCCAAGAGCAGAAAGCAGCAGCCAGCCAGCGGCCUCUGUUGUUGUUGGCCCAAACAACAAUAAAAACAACCAGUAACACAACAAAACACGCCACGUGUGCUCAGGCACCCACGAACACGCCCACAGAACCCAAACAAACUGCACGGGAAAGCACUGGGCCGCUUCUGGCCCUGCCAGGCAUAACCCUUGGCGGCUGGCCAUGGCAGUUCGGUUCCCACCCCCAACCCCACCAUCUGUCACCAACACACUCUGGCUCCUGUAAUGUGGCGACACAGUCCACAGAGGCUAACAAGUAGCAAAUGGAGAGGGAAAAAAAAGCUACCGCAGUCAGUGGGAGGAGGAGGCUAUGGCUUUGACACCAACUGACAAAAAGCCGGGAAAUUCAAACUGAAGGCUUGCCCUAAAGCCCUGCAGCUGUGAGGUUUGAGCUGCCGGGCAGGGUGUGCGGUGAGCCAGGCUGGCAGGGGCAACCUGAGAAAAGACCAUGGAGGUAGAGUUCAGCGGGCUGGCUUUUUGCAAACUCGAUCCAAGUGAGACUCUUAACAUCCAGGCUAAUGUUCAUGGUUUGCCCAACAGGUUUUCCUGCUGGGGAAACGAGAGAAAAAAAAAAAAAACAACGAAAAAAGAACUUUCUCCACUAAAAUUUCUGAAGGAAGCAUUUAAUCAAAACAGUACUUGUAAUGUAAGACAGGUGGUUGAAUUCUCUGUCAAACUAUCGGCCCCAAAGAGGACAGGGAGGCCUGCUGCAUUGACUUAGAGUUGAGAGCUGUUAGGCUAGUUAAAACCAGUUAAUGCUGUCACUUAAGUCAUUGGAGACCAGGACUGGAAUAUUUGUCACUUUUCUCUCGAUUAUUUUUGUAAAUCUAUUUGUUUGCCAAAAAGUACAUCAAAAAGAGAAGGCAGGAGACAGGAUGGGAACCAGCCACCAAGUCUGUAAUUCUUGCUUUGGUCAUGGGCACUUUGAAUGGAUAAUCAUUGUGGGGUUUCCAUUGUCAUUAAAUGCAGGGGUUGCUUCCUUCCAAACCCUAAAACCUCAGAUCUGUGUUCCCAGGAAUUUGACAACUACCACACAUGUUCUGCAUUACUUUCUCCGUGUGAGAGAUAAACUUAGCUUAGAAACUGGAUGUGUCAGUGCAUGCCCGCCAGAUAUGUCCCAUACACACCCCAAGAGCCUCGAGCACCCCAGCAAUGCCACUCAACACACAAAGUCAUAUACUUGUUUAAAACACUAGGAUAUAUAUGUGUGUGCACACAUUUUUUUCACUCAAUUGCAUGAUUCUCGUGCAUGAAUUUUGUAGACAUCAGCAUCGUAUCCCAAGGUCAAAAUGUUGGACUCACCUGCCCAGGUAUAAUCCUAGCACAUAAGAGAAUUUUCUGAAUUCCAUAAUGAGAAUCCACCUUUUAAAAAGAAAAGAAAGAAAAGGGAGUGGGGAGACAGCUUAGUAGGCAACGUGCUUACUGCAUAGCAUUAGGACCUAAGUCCACACAAAGACAAAGGAUCUAAAGUGGGUCUGCAAUCCAGAGCUACUAUGGUAAGAUGAGAAGCUAAGACAGUGUCUCAAGCAAGAUGGACGGCAAGGCCGACAGCCAAGGUCUUCUCCGAUGGCCGCUCUCCAAUGCAACAGCAUGCAAGACCCUCCUUCCCCCUCAACUUAACAAGUCCAGUUUGUGUUGCCCAUAUUCAUAUGCUCCUGGGUGUGGGAUCAUCUACUAGAGCGUGGCUGACCUAUCAAGGGGACACACCCUUAAAGAAACUAAUUCACCCCAUCCUCAAAGUCAUCAACCAUCAAUGGCUCCUCUGUGAGAGGUAAGAAGAGCUCAUGAACCCAUUUCCACUCCAUCCUAGAGCAUCAUGCUCUUGAUGCACAAAGAUUUUAUUUUUAAAAAGAAAGGAAUAGAAGAGUAAAGAGGAGGUGUGGGUAAGGGCAUAAUGUAGAAAGAGACUCAUGUCAGGGGAGUUUAAAACACCCACAGUGAAAAUGGCCAUGCUUCUUCAAGAUCUCAACGCUGGGCCUGCCAUCCUUCUGUCCUGGACAGUGUGGCUCUGCUAAGCCACUGCCGCCCCACGUUGCCUUUUACCUCUUACCACAAAACCACAACUGCUAUAAACUCUUACUCCCCACUCUUCAAAAGUUAUUAAUUAAGCAAGGAAAAUCACAGUACAUUUCAAUCAAGAUAGCAAGAAACAAAAGCAGCUUUCAUUCCGUUCGUCUGUUGAUUGAGAAUUGUUAGUGGAUCAUUCUUUUUGUAAUAGUUUGAUUGCUAAAAUAAAAUAAAAUAAACUCUGGAAAAGAAGUUAUGAUUCCCCAAACAACUCUGACUGACGGCAUAAUAGCUUAGCUCAUUAUCCCUAAUCGCUAGAGUAAACAUAUAUUUACAAAUAAAAACACACAACAGAUGUAUUUUCAUCCACAAGGUGAUGCUGUCAACUAAAAUAGAGACUGUGCGCUGAAGUACCGCAUCCAUCAUUUUAAAGACAGACCCACCACCGUCCCCCAUUGGUACCCAGAUGAAAGCCUCUGUGUGCAGAUGGUUAUGCUUCUUACAGCCACACAUGGGAGGAAGGGGUGCCGUGCUUGGGAUAACAUGAACUCCAGUGUCAGAAAAAUUAGUUCCAAGUGUAGGCUCUGCCUGACAGCCUGGUACCUCAGUGUUUCCAUCUGCAAACUGGGGACAUUAACAGCACCUAUGGAACAGUCUUGCAUUAAAUGAGAUGAUGAACACAAAAGUGUUUUCUCCAUACUAACACAGGA